UACGUAGGGUGCAGGCGUUAAUCGGAAUUACUGGGCGUAAAGCGUGCGCAGGCGGUCUUUUAAGUCAGAUGUGAAAUCCCCGGGCUUAACCUGGGAACUGCGUUUGAAACUGGAAGGCUUGAGUGCGGCAGAGGGGGGUGGAAUUCCACGUGUAGCAGUGAAAUGCGUAGAGAUGUGGAGGAACACCGAUGGCGAAGGCAGCCCCCUGGGCUAACACUGACGCUCAUGCACGAAAGCGUGGGGAGCAAACAGG
rnacentral:rRNA from 1 species